UACGUAGGGGGCAAGCGUUGUCCGGAUUUAUUGGGCGUAAAGAGCGUGUAGGCGGCCAAACAGGUCAGCUGUGAAAACUCGAGGCUCAACCUCGAGACGUCGGUUGAAACCGUUUGGCUAGAGUCCGGAAGAGGAGAGUGGAAUUCCCGGUGUAGCGGUGAAAUGCGCAGAUAUCGGGAAGAACACCCAUGGCGAAGGCAGCUCUCUGGGACGGUACUGACGCUGAGACGCGAAAGCGUGGGGAGCAAACAGG
rnacentral:rRNA from 1 species